GAGACGGUUCUCUAAGAGGCCCGUCAUCGGAAUGGGUACAAUCUAAAUCCUUUAACGAGGAUCUAUUGGAGGGCAAGUCUGGUGCCAGCAGCCGCGGUAAUUCCAGCUCCAAAAGCGUAUAUAAAAGUUGUUGCGGUUAAAAAGCUCGUAGUUGGAUCUGCGCUCUAGGUUUGCGGUCCCCUAAAUGGGAGGUACUGCUUUACCUGGGCUAUUUUCUCUGGUUUUCCCUUUGUGCUCUUUACCGAGUGCUCUGGGUGACUGGAAUUUUUACUUUGAAAAAAUUAGAGUGCUCAAAGCAGGCGGUCAGCCUGAAUAGUGGUGCAUGGAAUAAUGGAAUAGGACUUCGGUUCUAUUUUGUUGGUUUUCGGAGCUCGAAGUAAUGAUUAAGAGGGACAGACGGGGGCAUUCGUAUUGCGACGUUAGAGGUGAAAUUCUUGGAUCGUCGCAAGACGCACUACUGCGAAAGCUUUUGCCAA
rnacentral:rRNA from 1 species